rnacentral:SRP_RNA from 1 species
GAUUGGUGAUGAUUGUGAUUAAUGGUGAACUCCGCCAGGUCGGGAACGAAGCAACGGCAACCAUUGUCGCCCUGUGUCGCUAUAUCGG